AAUGAACGCUAGUAGUAUGCUUAACACAUGCAAGUCGAACGAAAGUUUUACACUUUCGUGGCGUACGGGUGAGUAAAUGCAGAAUUCUUCCUUCCAGUUCAGUACAAAAUUGCUUCUAGUAAUAAAUUCUGAAUAUUUUUAAAGGUUUAUUUACCGCUGAAAGAUGAAUCUGCUUAAGAUUAGGUUGUUGGUAAUUUAAAAGCUUACCAAGCCGAUGAUCUUUAGUUGGUCUGAGAGGAUGAUCAACCACACUGGAACUGAAACAAGGUCCAGGCUAAUUCGUUGGCCAGCAGUGAGGAAUAUUGGAGUCAAUGAACGAAAGUUUGAUCCAGC
rnacentral:rRNA from 1 species